rnacentral:rRNA from 1 species
UACGGAGGGUGCAAACGUUGCUCGGAAUCAUUGGGCGUAAAGCGCAUGUAGGCGGUCCGGUAAGUCGGAUGUGAAAUCCCUCGGCUCAACCGAGGAAGGGCAUCCGAAACUGCCGGGCUUGAGUACGGAAGAGGGUCUCGGAAUUCCCGGUGUAGAGGUGAAAUUCGUAGAUAUCGGGAGGAACACCAGUGGCGAAGGCGGAGACCUGGGCCGAGUACUGACGCUGAGGUGCGAAAGCGUGGGGAGCAAACAGGGAUUAAGAAACC